GAGGAGGGCCCCUUCGGGGGGGGGCGCAGUAGGGAAUCUUCCACAAUGGACGCAAGUCUGAUGGAGCAACGCCGCGUGAGUGAAGAAGGUUUUCGGAUCGUAAAGCUCUGUUGUUGGUGAAGAAGGACAUGGGUAGUAACUGAUCUAUGUUUGACGGUAAUCAACCAGAAAGUCACGGCUAACUACGUGCCAGCAGCCGCGGUAAUACGUAGGUGGCAAGCGUUGUCCGGAUUUAUUGGGCGUAAAGCGAACGCAGGCGGGAGAACAAGUCAGCUGUGAAAGCCCUCGGCUUAACCGAGGAACGGCAACUGAAACUGUUUUUCUUGAGUGCAGAAGAGGAGAGUGGAACUCCAUGUGUAGCGGUGAAAUGCGUAGAUAUAUGGAAGAACACCAGUGGCGAAGGCGGCUCUCUGGUCUGUAACUGACGCUGAGGUUCGAAAGCAUGGGUAGCGAACAGGAUUAGAUACCCUGGUAGUCCAUGCCGUAAACGAUGAGUGCUAAGUGUUGGGAGGUUUCCGCCUCUCAGUGCUGCAGCUAACGCAUAAGCACUCCGCCUGGGAGACACCGAACG
rnacentral:rRNA from 1 species